GGAUCCGGGAGAGACUAUCCUAUAUAGCGCCGAAGGGGUAAAGACGGAAAUACUCUCAGGCAAAAGGACCGGAUUU
rnacentral:ncRNA from 1 species